rnacentral:rRNA from 1 species
GUGGGGAAUAUUGGACAAUGGGCGAAAGCCUGAUCCAGCCAUGCCGCGUGCAGGAAGAAGGCCUUCGGGUUGUAAACUGCUUUUGUACGGAACGAAACGGUCCUGGUUAAUACCUGGGGCUAAUGACGGUACCGUAAGAAUAAGCACCGGCUAACUACGUGCCAGCAGCCGCGGUAAUACGUAGGGUGCGAGCGUUAAUCGGAAUUACUGGGCGUAAAGCGUGCGCAGGCGGUGCUGUAAGACAGGCGUGAAAUCCCCGGGCUCAACCUGGGAAUUGCGCUUGUGACUGCAGUGCUGGAGUACGGCAGAGGGGGAUGGAAUUCCGCGUGUAGCAGUGAAAUGCGUAGAUAUGCGGAGGAACACCGAUGGCGAAGGCAGUCCCCUGGGCCUGUACUGACGCUCAUGCACGAAAGCGUGGGGAGCAAACAGGAUUAGAAACCCUGGUAGUCC